rnacentral:snRNA from 19 species
AUACUUACCUUGGUUGACUGCGCGGAGAUCAAGAAGACCGAGUAGUAUGGCGGAGAGCCUGCAUUGCACAUCGUGGUGCUAGCCGUCAUGAAUUGUCCUUCGGGGCCGUUCCGGCCGUAAUUUUUGAUGUCGAACCAAAACAAAUCUUUUUUUUUCAC